UACAGGGGGGGCAAGCGUUGUUCGGAAUUACUGGGCGUAAAGGGUUCGUAGGUGGCCACUUAAGUCAGACGUGAAAUCCCUCAGCUUAACUGGGGAACUGCGUCUGAUACUGCGUGGCUUGAGUGCAGGAGAGGAAUGCGGAAUUCCAGGUGUAGCGGUGAAAUGCAUAGAUACCACCAAGAACCCCGAUUGCGUAGGCAGCUCGCUGAGCCGAAACUGACGCUGAGGCACGAAAGCGUGGGGAGCGAACAGG
rnacentral:rRNA from 1 species